AACCGCCGAGUACGGAUCCGUACGCUCGGUGGUGGGAGAGGACGGGGGUUAGUCACCCCCUCCUACUCGAU
rnacentral:misc_RNA from 1 species